rnacentral:tRNA from 1 species
GUCCCUAUAGUUUAAUGGAUAAAACAGGAGACUUCUAAGCUCUUGAUCUUGGUUCGAUUCCAGGUAGGGGCA